AUUUUACGAGGUGCUGCAUGGUUGUCGUCAGCUCGUGCCGUGAGGUGUCGGGUUAAGUCCCAUAACGAGCCGCUAACCCCUACCUUUAGUUGCCAUCAGGUUAAGCUGGGGACUCUAAAGGAACUGCCUACGCAAGUAGUGAGGAAGGCGGGGAUGACGUCAAAUCAGCACGGCCCUUACGUCCAGGGCUACACACGUGCUACAAUGGCCGAUACAGAGGGCAGCUACCUGGUGACAGGAUGCAAAUCUCCAAAGUCGGUCUCAGUUCGGAUCGGAGUCUGCAACCCGACUCCGUGAAGUUGGAUUCGCUAGUAAUCGCGCAUCAGCCAUGGCGCGGUGAAUACGUUCCCGGGCCUU
rnacentral:rRNA from 1 species